GUCUCCGAGGUCCUAACACAUUAGAAAAGGUCCGAACAAUUCCGAACGAGGUCCGAACGCAUUCCUAUCGAGAUCAAAGAGUUUCAAACGAGGUCCGAACAACGUCCGAACACGGUCCGAACACUGAUUCCGAACUGUGUAGGUCACGUGACCGAGGAGGUGUGGUUAUCAUGGUGGUUAUAGCUUUAGAGUGGCAGCCAUUCUUUUCCACCGCAUCACAACAGACUCGGGAAAAAGAUGACUAACACAGGAAAGCCAGACGGCUACUGGAGGGACCUCUGCAUAAAAUAUGCCCAGGGCCAAUACCGCUUCUCGACUGGCAAACGGCCAGGGGCCAAGAAAUGGAAAAAGGCCUUGGAGAGCAUCGAUGCUUGCCCCCUGCAGAGCCAUAGUGCUAGUAAGGAUCUGUUCGGGAGAAGCCUUCAGUGCUCCUGUGGGUUCCACAAGGUAUGUGAAAUUAUUUUCCCCUGUGGGUUCCACAAGGUAAGUGAGUUAUUUACUAAUUGAUUGUUUACAGGUUUGCUUGUUUUUUCCUCUGGUGGGCUUCAGUGAUUUUGCAGUAAUGCCUGAUGUAUUUUAACAACUGGAGAAAACUAGUAGUGUAGGAUUCUUAGGUGUAUGUAGCAUGGCCCCUCUUUGUGUACCCCCCCCCCCCCCCCAGCCAGCAGAUCUGUCAUCAGGAGCUGGGUCCAGUGAGGCAGGAGUAGUUGAGACAGAGGGAGGGCGAGUCCGAGUCGGCUCAGAGGCAGGAAAAGGAGACACGGAUGCAGGGGGAGCCCGGUCCCACACAGAGGCAGAGGCAGGGAGAGGAGACAAGGAGGCAGGGGCAUCAGUGGCAGGACAGGAAGUGCAGUGCUACGGGUGCAACCAGCUUGUGGAGGCAGCACAUUUUUCAGAGCACCUGUCUGACCACCAUGCUCAGGAGACGUGUGACACCUGUGGGGCCAAGGUGCAGGGUACUGUUGAUCUUUUGAACCAUAUUCAACAGGUUCACUAUGCAGGAUUCGUUAUGCCAUCAAUGCAAAAGCCAACAGUACAAACACCGAAGCCAACGCCAUCACCACCGAAGCACACACUACUACCACCGAUGCCAACGUCAUCUCUGCUCCCUCCUUCAAAUAGCUGUGCCACGCCACACCACACUGCAACUCCACCUAAACCAACUCCAGUAGUUUUUUCUUCCCGAUCAAUUUCGGAAAGUAAUCCAGGAAGCAGAUCAGGUGUGGAUUGCAAAGUGCCUAUAUGAGCCUACAGGUCAGCUGAAGCAGAAAUUUGAAGCCUGCUGGUUUCACCCCCCACUGGAGCCCAAAUCCUCUCGUCCUGAGCCUGGAUGGUACCACCGGCAGAGGCUGUUCAUCUGGGCACCCAUGAGGAUGUGGGGAUUUCCUUAAAAUGCCCAAAAUUUUCCGGGAAAAUGAACAGCUCCGGUAUAUAUAUAUUGUCAUUGAAGGAGGAAGCGGACAUAGUCCAGCUAUAUACAGCUCUCCAUGACAUGGACAAGAAGCAUUCAAGCUACACCCAGAAGGCUAGAAAGCAAGGACAGACAUCAGGAGGACCGUGGAGAGCACCGAGGAGGCCGAGUGGCUCUGCUCCUGGACAGCAGGCGGCAGAGAGACUAUACAUGACUCACGGCCAAGCAGCCCAGGAUCCCGAACACCACAGGGUCACCACUGCCUCAGACACGCCAAGGAGUUUGACUAGUCACGUUACAGGCCCAAGGACACGAGGGGGAAAACCCUGCCCAUCCCUCGGUCAAUUGUGAGCAUCUACAGCCAUAUUAGACAGCUGCUGGAGGACAGCAGGUCCAGACGGCGCUGGCUCUGGUGCCGGUGAACAACACCACGGUCUCUGCAUGGCUGCUUAGGAGGGACAAGAGGAAGGACAGGAACAUGCUGCUGCAAGGCAAUGUCCUCCCUCAACAGCUAUACCUGGCCAAGGAUCCUCUCCCUUCAAUAAACACUCUCCCGGCUGCCCCUGUGCAACAUGCACAUGAGGUGAGUACAUUAGGUUUAGGAUUAUCGCGUGAUCUCGUGAUCUCGUGUCAAUACGGCUGGCUCGCAAGGCAGCGCAAAGCUGUGGGGAUUGACGCAGGGCAGAGUUCACAGCCGUUCCGCGGCGCUUACGUCCCUGGUGGAAAACAGGCGUUAGGGUAGUAGUGGUUAGGGUUAGGGUUAGGUAGUGGUUAGGGUUAGGGUUUUUGUAUUGAAAGAAGAGAUUGAAAGAGAUUGAAACUUUCCCACGCCCGGGGAUAAACCAUGCCUCCCCAGAGCUGCUGUGUUCGCGACAAUUGGAAGACGGGAUUGAGUGAAGUAGCAGUUGAGCAGUUGGAUGUGGAUGUCCAUGUCCUACAGACUGCAGCCAGACCCUUCUCAAAACCCGACAGAGAACCAAAACAGGUCCUUGCGUUACGUCGACGUGGAACCAUAAUCAGCCCUUAAGGCUGGUGUACAAACACACCAAUAAAUCCCCCCAUUGUUUGGCAUCCCCAAACAUGCACUUGACCAAUCACAACGCUCUAUACUACGGGCCUUAAAGGUCCCAUGGCAUGAAAAUGUUACUUUAUGAGGUUUUCUAACAUUAAUAUGAGUUUCCCUAGCCUCCCUAUGGUCCCCCAGUAGCUAGAAAUGGCAUAAGGUGCAAAACGAGCACUAGGUAUCCUGCUCCGCCUUUGAAAAGUGAAAGCUCAGAUGCUCAGAUUCCGAAUUUGGCCCCAUAUGUCGUCAUAAGGGGCCAAGUUACCUCCCCUUUCUCUGCCUUGCCCACCCAAAGAAUUUGGCCCGCCAAUGAGACAAUGAGUUACGACCGUGCGAGCGCCACGUGUGUGUGUGUGAAUACACACACUGUAACGCAAGUGUUGUACACUUCUUUGUUAUUUGGAUAACCGUUCUUCUGUUUGUGUUAUGGCUCAUAACGUGUCGGUUUUUUGACGUCUGUUAUUUCCACAACGAGACUCUAGUUGGGGUAAUCUCAGCCAUGGUUGAGAUAACCCCAGAAGUUCAUGAACCACGACAUGGGAGAAAUGGAUUGUUGCCCGCGGUUGUCUCCCUCCGGAUAUAUGUUGAGUGAUUUUGUGCUACUUUCCGUAAAAGCGAACGGUGGAAUAAAUAUCUGUGAUAGGGGGCCAUGGUCGGACAUAAUAGUCUGUGGACACAUGCAUGUUAUGAUUUUGCGAUUAUAAACAACCAAUGGGGGGAGUGGAUGGGACUCUACAUGAUGUUACAUUUUUCUUCGUAGAGGUAUUUGUUGUGUUUUUUUUAUUUUUAUCUUUUAGUUAAACCUAUAUGUGUGCCUUUUUGGAUCAAUGGUUGAUGAUUGCAUGACCUAUUUUUGAUUACUGUUUUCCUAAAUGUUGCAUGAGGUAUUUUUGAUUAUUAAUUUAGUGAUGAUUGUGUGACUACUAAUUUAGUGACGAUUGUGUGACUACUAAUUUAGUGAUGAUUGUAUGACAUGGUGGUUGUAUGUCUACUGCUUAUUUGUUGAGUGAGGCUUGUAGCCCACUGUGUAUUCCAUGUGACCCUCCGGACUGCCUGAUUGUGCGGGUUGGUUGGUGGUUUUGAUGAUUGUUGCAUGGUAAUGUACCCAUGAUAUUUUUCUGUUUUGCUUUAUACUUUUAUACUAUUAUACUAUUAUCCUCAUCCUCAUCCUCAUCCGCUUAGCGGAUGCUCCAUAGUACCCUCACUCGCGAACAAGACCCCGAGGUACUUGAACU